UUUUAAAAGACCUAGUAAUAGGUAUGCUUUAGGAGGGGCUUGCGCCAUAUUAGUUAGUUGGUAGGGUAAUGGCCUACCAAGACGAUGAUGUGUAGCUGGACUGAGAGGUUGAACAGCCACAUUGGGACUGAGACACGGCCCAAACUCCUACGGGAGGCAGCAGUAGGGAAUUUUCGGCAAUGGAGGAAACUCUGACCGAGCAACGCCGCGUGAAUGACGAAGUACUUCGGUAUGUAAAGUUCUUUUAUCAAGGAAGAAAAGCAAAUGGCGAACCAUUUGUUUGCCGGUACUUGAUGAAUAAGCCCCGGCUAAUUAUGUGCCAGCAGCCGCGGUAAGACAUAAGGGGCAAGUGUUAUCCGGAAUUAUUGGGCGUAAAGGGUGCGUAGGCGGUCUAGUAAGUCAGUGGUGUAAUGGCAACGCUUAACGUUGUCCGGCUAUUGAAACUGCUAAACUUGAGUUAGAUAGAGGCGAGUGGAAUUCCAUGUGUAGCGGUAAAAUGCGUAAAUAUAUGGAGGAACACCAGAGGCGUAGGCGGCUCGCUGGGUCUUAACUGACGCUGAGGCACGAAAGCGUGGGGAGCAAACAGGAUUAGAUACCCUGGUAGUCCACGCCGUAAACGAUGAGUACUAAGUGUCGGGUUAAACCGGUACUGAAGUUAACACAUUAAGUACUCCGCCUGAGUAGUACGUACGCAAGUAUGAAACUUAAAGGAAUUGACGGGACUCCGCACAAGCGGUGGAUCAUGUUGUUUAAUUCGAAGAUACCCGAAAAACCUUACCAGGUCUUGACAUGUUUUUGCAAAAUGAUAGUAAUAUCGUGGAGGUUACCAGAAACACAGGUGGUGCAUGGUUGUCGUCAGCUCGUGUCGUGAGAUGUUAGGUUAAGUCCUAAAACGAGCGAAACCCUUAUCGUUAGUUGCCAGCACGUUAUGGUGGGGACUUUAACGAGACUGCCAAUGAUAAAUUGGAGGAAGGUGAGGAUCACGUCAAAUCAGCAUGCCCCUUAUGACCUGGGCUACAAACGUGAUACAAUGGCUGUUACAAAGGGUAGCUGAAACGCAAGUUCUUGGCCAAUCCCCAAAAACAGUCCCAGUCCGGAUUGAAGUCUGCAACUCGACUUCAUGAAGUUGGAAUCGCUAGUAAUCGCGAAUCAGCAUGUCGCGGUGAAUACGUUCUCGGGGUUUGUACACACCGC
rnacentral:rRNA from 1 species